UCAAACAUAAUAUAAAUGUCAUUGAUCAGACAGUGGCAUACACAUCAGACAGUGUGAAAAUCAUGAUAAAAAUGGAUUUAUCUUUUCGUAAAUACGCUGUCUAGAAACUAAAAUAUAGAGAGCUACAGUUGUAAUCCAUGAGAGUACAAAGUCAACAAAAAUUCUGCUUAAAAUUAGAUAAAAUUUAAAAGAAUCCACCUAAUCUGAACAAAUAAGGGAAAGAUAAG
rnacentral:misc_RNA from 1 species